UGCAGGGUUUGGUAUGAAAAUGAGAAAAUAAGCACGAAUCUGAUGCUGUUUCUGUUGGAAGUCCAUCUAACAGGCUCUCCCUCACCAGGGAUGGAGGUGGAGGAAGGUGCUCUCUGCUGUACCAGGGCUGAUCUCAGCAGUUCUUACCUCACUGGCAGGGAUAAAAGCAACUGAUGCUUCUUUAGAAAUAAGGCAGGCCAUCUGUGAGCAUCCCAGUAAAGCCUGGAUGGCCACAAGACUGUCCUGGGGAGCAGGAAAGGGUCAGCUCUGCCAGCAGGGAGCUGGGGGUGGGUGGGGUGUUCCCCCUUUGUGAUGCUACCCCAGAACCCCAUUGCCAUGGCAGCCAGAGACAUGGGAUGAUUCUCUCCCCUCUGGCUUUCCCUUCUUGGAUUCUUCCUGAAUAUUUGAAUGCUCACAAGCACUGCUGAUCUACCAAGAUUUUCAGGAGACCAUAAAUCACCCUAAAUAGCCCAAGCCUGUGGGAGUUCCCUGUCUUUGGCCUGGAAUCUGCCAAGGCAGCUCAUGAAAGCUGAUGACCUUCCAGGAGGACAAAACCACAUCCCUGUCACCCAGCCCAGGCGUCUCGGAGCACAUCCUGCUGAACACAGACAGCUCUGAAGGCUUCAGUACCAACCUCCUGCUUUGCAAUGAGCCAUUCCCAGAUUCCCUGGUGCUGGAUCUUGCCUACCUGCCCUACUACAGAACCUCUCAUGUCUGUAUCAGCCCAUCUUCCCACUCUGCAUCAUCACACACCCUCACAGACGCAGAAGAAAGCUCCGAUGAAGGCAAGGCUGACACCAAGCAGGAUGAGAAAGUGAGUUAUUCAGCCACCUCCACAGGAUAUUUUCUGUACUGCAGAGCAUAUGAAGAGCUUCUGGGCCGACCACCCACACAUGGAUUAACUGUAUGGUUAAAUUGGGUUAAACACCUGCAAAUUAGGGGAGGUGAACUCCCCUUUCAUGUUUCUCAAAGGGGUAGGAAGGGAGGAAGAGAGGCAGGAGCAUCUCACACCACACUGUUCCUCAAAGUUAGGGCCUUAGGAACAAAGUGAUGUCUUGUGCCCUGAAAACAUGAUGCAGGAGCAGAGCUAUCUGCAAGGAGGAGAUACCUAAGGCAGCCCUGGCAAGGUCCCUGUCCCUUGAAACAACCUGUGGUCCCCAGACUCCUACUGGGACACUGCUGCUCUGAUGGGAUCUGUCCCACUGCUGUCCCUGCUGUGUCCCCAGGGGCAGGGCAGUUCCCAUCUCUUGAGCCCUUAGCUCUUGGUCCUGCACAUAUUUUUUUCAGAGCAUCCCACCGAGUCUGGAGUUGAGCAAGAGGACAAUUUCUCCUCCAACCCACGGAAAGAAACCAUCCCAGCAGCUCCCAUCAGAAGCCAGCACCUCUGAACUCUGCCCACCCUCCUCCCCCAGCAGGCUCCCACCCCUGAGCCAGCCCCUUCCCCCCAGUGGGUACUUCCCUUACUACAGGACAGAGGGAGAGAUCUGCACUGGCCCAGCUCAUGGAAAUGGGGCCUUCACUGGGACAGAAGGUCUGGAGACCAAGGAGGGAAGGCAGAGAGGAGGAGCAGGUAUUUGGAGUCUUGGUGCCAGCUGCUUGGUGUGCUGAGAAGAAAGCAGGGGUGUUGUGAACAGCAUGAAAAUCUGCAUGACUAUGAAAUAUGAGUAUUCAUGGAUUGGAUAUGAAAUAAAAAUAUUAAUUCUCUCUAACA
ensembl:lncRNA